rnacentral:rRNA from 1 species
UACGUAGGGUGCGAGCGUUAAUCGGAAUUACUGGGCGUAAAGGGCGCGUAGGCGGCGUGGUAAGUCAGCUGUGAAAUCUCCGAGCUUAACUCGGAACGGUCAGCUGAUACUGCUGUGCUAGAGUACAGAAAGGGCAAUCGGAAUUCUUGGUGUAGCGGUGAAAUGCGUAGAUAUCAAGAGGAACACCUGAGGCGAAGGCGGGUUGCUAGGCUGAUACUGACGCUGAGGCGCGAAAGCUAGGGUAGCAAACGGG